GCCAGGUGUCGUGGUGUGUGCCUGUAGGCCCAGCUACUCAGGAGGAUGAGGCAGGAGGAUUGCUUGAGCUCAGGAGUUAUAGGCUGUAGUAUGCUAUGCCAAUGGAUGAGGUGUCUGUGCUAAGUUCCAUGUCAAGAUAGUGACCUUCUGGAAGCAGGAGACCACCAGCUUGCCUGCGGAAGGGUGAGCCAGCCCAGGUCAGGAAGGGAAAAAGUCAAAACUCCCACACUGGUCAGCAGAUCAGUAAUGGGACUGAGCUUGUGUACAGCCACUGCCCUCCUCCAGCCUGGGCAAUAUAGGGAGACUCUGUCUCU
ensembl:misc_RNA Metazoa_SRP Metazoan signal recognition particle RNA